rnacentral:sRNA from 1 species
AGCCCCAAGCUUACCACCUGCACCCGGAGAGCUGUGUCACCAUGUGGGUCCUGGUUGUCUUCCUCACCCUGUCCGUGACGUGGAUUGGUGAGAGGGGCCAUGGUUGGGGGGAUGCAGGAGAGGGAGCCAGCCCUGACUGUCAAGCUGAGGCUCUUUCCCCCCCACCCAGCACCCCAGCCCAGACAGGGAGCUGGGCUCUUUUCUGUCUCUCCCAGCCCCACUCCAAGCCCAUACCCCCAGCCCCUCCAUAUUGCAACAGCCCUCACUCCCACACCAGGUCCCCACUCCCUCCCACCUACCCCAGAACUUUCUCCCCAUUGCCCAGCCAACUCCCUGCUCCCAGCUGCUUUACUAAAGGGGAAGUUCCUGGGCAUCUCCGUGUUUCUCUUUGUGGGGCUCAAAACCUCCAAGGACCUCUCUCAAUGCCAUUGGUUCCUUGGACCCUAUCACUGGUCCACCUCCUGAGCCCCUCAAUCCUAUCACAGUCUACUGAAUUUUCCCAUUCAGCUGUGAGUGUUCAACCCUAUGCCAGAGACCUUGAUGCUUGGCCUCCCAAUCUUGCCCUAGGAUACCCAGAUGCCAACCAGACACCUCCUUCUUCCUAGCCAGGCUAUCUGGCCUGAGACAACAAAUGGGUCCCUCAGUCUGGCAAUGGGACUCUGAGAACUCCUCAUUCCCUGACUCUUAGCCCCAGACUCUUCAUUCAGUGGCCCACAUUUUCCUUAGGAAAAACAUGAGCAUCCCCAGCCACAACUGCCAGCUCUCUGAUUCCCCAAAUCUGCAUCCUUUUCAAAACCUAAAAACAAAAAGAAAAACAAAUAAAACAAAACCAACUCAGGCCACAACUGUUUUCUCAACCUGGGACUUCCUAAACUUUCCAAAACCUUCCUCUUCCAGCAACUGAACCUUGCCAUAAGGCAGUUAUCCCUGGUUCCUAGCACCCCUUAUCCCCUCAGAAUCCACAACUUGUACCAAGUUUCCCUUCUCCCAGUCCAAGACCCCAAACCACCACAAAGGACCCGAUCCCCAGACUCAAGAUAUGGUCUGGGCGCUGUCUUGUGUCUCCUACCCUGAUCCCUGGGUUCAACUCUGCUCCCAGAGCAUGAAGCCUCUCCACCAGCACCAGCCACUAACCUGCAAACCUAGGGAAGAUUGACAGAAUUCCCAGCCUUUCCCAGCUCCCCCUGCCCAUGUCCCAGGACUCCCAGCCUUGGUUCUCUGCCCCCAUGUCUUUUCAAACCCACAUCCUAAAUCCAUCUCCUAUCCGAGUCCCCCAGUUCCUCCUGUCAACCCUGAUCCCCCUGAUCUAGCACCCCCUCUGCAGGCGCUGUGCCCCUCAUCCUGUCUCGGAUUGUGGGAGGCUGGGAGUGCAAGAAGCAUUCCCAACCCUGGCAGGUGCUUGUGGCCUCUCGUGGCAGGGCAGUCUGCGGCGGUGUUCUGGUGCACCCCCAGUGGGUCCUCACAGCUGCCCACUGCAUCAGGAACAAAAGCGUGAUCUUGCUGGGUCGGCACAGCCUGUUUCAUCCUGAAGACACAGGCCAGGUAUUUCAGGUCAGCCACAGCUUCCCACACCCGCUCUAUGAUAUGAGCCUCCUGAAGAAUCGAUUCCUCAGGCCAGGUGAUGACUCCAGCCACGACCUCAUGCUGCUCCGCCUGUCAGAGCCUGCCGAGAUCACGGAUGCUGUGAAGGUCAUGGACCUGCCCACCCAGGAGCCAGCACUGGGGACCACCUGCUACGCCUCAGGCUGGGGCAGCAUCGAACCAGAGGAGUUCUUGACCCCAAAGAAACUUCAGUGUGUGGACCUCCAUGUUAUUUCCAAUGACGUGUGUGCGCAAGUUCACCCUCAGAAGGUGACCAAGUUCAUGCUGUGUGCUGGACGCUGGACAGGGGGCAAAAGCACCUGCUCGGGUGAUUCUGGGGGCCCACUUGUCUGUAAUGGUGUGCUUCAAGGUAUCACGUCAUGGGGCAGUGAACCAUGUGCCCUGCCCGAAAGGCCUUCCCUGUACACCAAGGUGGUGCAUUACCGGAAGUGGAUCAAGGACACCAUUGUGGCCAACCCCUGAGCACCCCUAUCAACUCCCUAUUGUAGUAAACUUGGAACCUUGGAAAUGACCAGGCCAAGACUCAAGCCUCCCCAGUUCUACUGACCUUUGUCCUUAGGUGUGAGGUCCAGGGUUGCUAGGAAAAUAAAUCAGCAGACACAGGUGUAGACCAGAGUGUUUUUUAAAUGGUGUAAUUUUGUCCUCUCUGUGUCCUGGGGAAUACUGGCCAUGCCUGGAGACAUCUCACUCAGUUUCUUUGAGGACACAGAUAGGAUGGGGUGUCUGUGUUAUUUGUGGGGUACAGAGAUGAAAGAGGGGUGGGAUCCACACUGAGAGAGUGGAGAGUGACAUGUGCUGGACACUGUCCAUGAAGCACUGAGCAGAAGCUGGAGGCACAACGCACCAGACACUCACAGCAAGGAUGGAGCUGAAAACAUAACCCACUCUGUCCUGGAGGCACUGGGAAGCCUAGAGAAGGCUGUGAGCCAAGGAGGGAGGGUCUUCCUGUGGCAUGGGAUGGGGAUGAAGUAAGGAGAGGGACUGGACCCCCUGGAAGCUGAUUCACUAUGGGGGGAGGUGUAUUGAAGUCCUCCAGACAACCCUCAGAUUUGAUGAUUUCCUAGUAGAACUCACAGAAAUAAAGAGCUGUUAUACUGUG